rnacentral:rRNA from 1 species
AUGCAUAGCCUAUUCCAUGAUUGGGAUCAAUGUGUUCUGAAGAAACCUAAAAAAAGAUUAAGAAAGGUGCAAAGGGAACUCGGGAAAAUUAUGACGGGGCCAAUGAAUGAUGACACAGAGAGUAGAAGAAAAGAGCUAUCGGAACUAGUUGAGUAUCUUCUGGAGUUGGAAGAAAUUCAUCAUUUGCAAAGAUCUAGGGCUACCUGGUUAAAGAAUGGAGACCGAAAUACUGGUUUCUUCCAAGCUUUUGCAUCAGCUAGGAGAAAGAAAAACAUAAUCAAGAGAUUGAAGGAUGAGAAUGGUAAUGUUCUGGAAGGUACGACUGCUCUCAAUCCACAUAUCCAGAAUUAUUUUACUAACUUGUUCACAAAUGAGGUGCAGCAGGUGAAUCCAGCAAUUCUUGAUAAAGUGCAAACAAAAGUGACUGAUCAGAUGAAUGCCAUGCUUACCUCGCCAUUUACUUCUGACAAUGUCAGGAAAGCGGUCUUCAGUAUUGGUGACUUGAAAGCACCAGGGCCGGAUGGGUUGCAUGCAAUAUUUUUAAAAAAGUUUUGGCAUAUUCUGGGAGAUGAAAUUACUCAAGAAGUUCUGUUUGCUAUUAAUUCUAGGCAAAUCCUGGCUGAAUGGAAUGAUACCUCAAUAGUACUCAUACCAAAGGUUGAUAAUCCAGAGAUGAUAACACAACAUAGGCCCAUUAGCUUGUGCAAUGUACUAUACAAGAUCAUCUCUAAAAUGCUAGCGUUAAGGUUGAAAAGCAUAUUACCGGAAAUUAUCUCCCCUACCCAGAGUGCUUUUGUACCCGGGAGGCUCAUAACUGACAAUGUUUUAAUUGCCUAUGAAUGUGUCCACAAGAUUAAGAACAAGAAAUCUGGACAAACAGGGAUAUGUGUAGUGAAGUUGGAUAUGCAUAAAGCAUACAAUCGAGUUGAGUGGAUCUUUUUGCGAAGUAUGAUGCAGAAAUUGGGAUUCCAUGAGCUAUGGAUUGAGAUGAUAAUGGCAUGUGUUAGCUCAGUUAGAUAUAAAGUCAGAUUCAAUUCACAAGAAACCGAUGUGUUCAUUCCUACUAGAGGCAUUCGAUAG